GCAGUGGUGGUUCAGUGGUAGAAUUCUUGCCUUCCAUGUGUGAGACCUGGGUUCAAUUCCUGGCCAGAGCA
rnacentral:tRNA from 1 species